AUUUACCAGAGUACUAUGAAUGUUAAAAAUUUAAAACUCAAAGAACUUGGCGGUGUUUUAGACCACUUAGGGGAACCUGUCUCGUAAUCGAUAAUCCACGGUGAACCUGACCUUUAUUUGUUUACAGUUUGUAUACCGUUGUCGUCAGGUAACUUUUUAGAAACUAGAAGUUAGCAAUAAAGAAUUAAAAAUAAUUCAGUACGUCAAAUCAAGGUGCAGCUUAUAUAGGGGGGAGGAUGGGUUACAAUUAUUUUAGUUAUAAUGACGGCGAAGUGUGGGAAGUCACAUUUAAUAAGGCGGACUUAAAAGUAAAUUAGAAUAUAUAAAUAAUUUGAAUAAGGCUCUGAAACGUGU
rnacentral:rRNA from 1 species